rnacentral:rRNA from 1 species
GAUGAACGCUGGCGGCAGGCUUAAUACAUGCAAGUCGAGGGGCAGCAUGGUGUAGCAAUACACUGAUGGCGACCGGCAAACGGGUGCGGAACACGUACAGAACCUUCCUUCGAGCGGGGAAUAGCCCAGAGAAAUUUGGAUUAAUACCCCAUAGUAUAUUGAAAAGGCAUCUUUUUAAUAUUAAAGAUUUAUCACUUGAAGAUGGCUGUGCGGCUGAUUAGGUAGUUGGCGGGGUAACGGCCCACCAAGCCUGCGAUCAGUAACUGGUGUUGAGGCACGACCAGUAACACGGGAACGUAGACACGGGCCCGACUUCUACGGGAGGCAGAAGUAAGGAAUAUUGGUCAAUGGACGAAAGUCUGAACCAGCCAUGCCGCGUGGAGGAUGAAGGUCCUCUGGAUUGUAAACUUCUUUUAUAUGGGACGAAAAAAGGCUUUUCUAAGUCGUCUGACGGUACCAUAUGAAUAAGUACCGGCUAACUCCGUGCCAGCCGCCGCCGUAAAAC